CGACACCCUGUUUCCUGGCAACUGAUGGCCUGGGCCCUUCCCCCCCUGCAAGGUGAGAGCUAAAGGGUUGGAGAACAAAGGAAUCAGGUGACCUCCUGGCCCGGGAAAGGAACAAAGCCCAGAGGAGGUGAGAGCUGAAGGGUUGGAGAACAAAGGAAUCAGGUGACCACCUGGCCCGGGAAAGGAACAAAGCCCAGAGGAGGAGGGGCUGGAGGGAGUUUCAGUUUGGGGCUGGCUGGGACAUGGAGUGAAGUGCAGACGUGGUUGUCUGGCUCACUACCCCCCAAAAUGGACCCAGCUGAGGGGUCCCGUUCUCUGCACCUGCAAGCUCUGUGUUAGACCAUGUUCCUGUCGUCUAAUAAACCUUCUGUUUUACUGGCUGGCUGAGAGUCACGUCUGACUGCGAAGUUGGGGUGCAGGACCCUCUGGCUUCCCCAGGAGCCCCGCCUGAGCGGACUCGCUGUGGGAAGCGCACGGAGGGGCAGAGGAUGCUGAAUGCUCCGAGGUCAGACCCAGGAAGGUGGAAGCUGUGUGAGCUGUGUGUCCUGAAGACAGGCUGCUCAGAGAAAGGCGACUGCCCCAGAGUCCUGACUGGCUUCAUGGGGAGCAGUUCCAGAGCAUCGCCCAGGGACUCCGUGACAACUGGUGGCAGCGGUGGGAUGUACUGCACCCCGUGGAUGGUGCUUCCUGCAGUAAGUGACUGGGGAGCAGUAACACGAAGGGGGAUUGCCGAGGACUAGGCCUGCUGAAGGCUCAGAGAGGAGCGGUUUCGGGGGGCGGUUAACCCCUGGGAGUGUGUGACCAGCGAGAAGGACUGUGCAGUAGCAGGGUUCCCCUGGGGAUUGCAGUGAGCAGUCCAAGGGGCGGAGGAGUCUGCAGCUCGACCCUGGCAAAGAGGUGGUGACCUCGAGAAGGGCUGGCACACUAGGGGUUCUCCCUGGAAACCGUGGGGAGCUGAGAACACACGGGCCUGUGAGUCCACAACAACUUGGGAGGAGCGGAGUGAUGGCCUGUCACCGUCUCCUUAAGAAGGACAUUGUAACCCUGUGCAAAAAGAGAGGGUUGAGCGUUGGAAAGUGCACCAAAGCAGAGUUAAUCGUGCAGCUGGAGGAGGAUGACCGCUCUAAGGAACAGAUUCCUGACCCCAACUGGGGCUAUAGCAGGAUCUGGGAGCAGCUGAAGCGGGAGCCAGGCAUCGCCAAGACUCCUGUCCCCGACCAGACGGGGGUCUUCACGAUCGGGUUCCCCAUCGGGGGAUCGAGACGGACGGGAUUGGAGCUGAGUCUGAGAGAGCAAGAGGACUGUGAGAGACAGCGAGAGCCCGAGAAAGAGCUGCAGAAGCAGCAGCAGCAUGAACUGGCGGUGGUGGGGCGGAGAGGCCUAGGGGACCUCCCCGGGGUCGCAGACGCAGGUGAAGUCAUCCCAGGACUGCAGGCAGCGGCCGCCGUGCUCACACAGGUUGGGGGUGCACCUGGUGGGGACAGAUG